rnacentral:tRNA from 1 species
UGGUCUAUUAGCUCAGUCGGUAGAGCACCUGACUUUUAAUCAGGGUGUCACAGGUUCGAGCCCUGUUGGUCCCACCA